GGACCCCUGGCGCAACGGUAGCGCGUUCGACUCCAGGGUUGGUAUCGAAAGGUUAUCUGUUCAAAUCAGGUGGGGUUCA